rnacentral:rRNA from 1 species
CUGAGNCGCGGCCCAGACUCCUACGGGAGGCAGCAGUGGGGAAUAUUGCACAAUGGGCGCAAGCCUGAUGCAGCGACGCCGCGUGAGGGAUGACGGCNUUCGGGUUGUAAACCUCUUUCAGUAGGGAAGAAGCGAAAGUGACGGUACCUGCAGAAGAAGCACCGGCUAACUACGUGCCAGCAGCCGCGGUAAUACGUAGGGUGCGAGCGUUAUCCGGAAUUAUUGGGCGUAAAGAGCUCGUAGGCGGUUUGUCGCGUCUGUCGUGAAAGUCCGGGGCUUAACCCCGGAUNUGCGGUGGGUACNGGCAGACUAGAGUGCAGUAGGGGAGANUGGAAUUCCAGGUGUAGCGGUGGAAUGCGCAGAUAUCAGGAGGAACACCGAUGGCGAAGGCAGNU